rnacentral:rRNA from 1 species
UACAGAGGGUGCGAGCGUUGUCCGGAAUCACUGGGCGUAAAGCGCGCGUAGGCGGCUUCGCAAGUCGGCCGUGAAAUCUCCGGGCUCAACUCGGAGGGGUCGGGCGAGACUGCGAGGCUCGAGGUGGGCAGAGGGCAGUGGAAUUCCGGGUGUAGUGGUGGAAUGCGUAGAGAUCCGGAGGAACACCAGUGGCGAAGGCGGCUGCCUGGGCCUGGCCUGACGCUGAGGCGCGAAAGCGUGGGGAGCAAUCCGG